rnacentral:rRNA from 1 species
CCUACGGGAGGCAGCAGUGGGGGAUAUUGGACAAUGGGGGGAACCCUGAUCCAGCGACGCCGCGUGAGUGAAGAAGUAUCUCGGUAUGUAAAGCUCUAUCAGCAGGGAAGAAGAAAUGACGGUACCUGAGUAAGAAGCCCUGGCUAACUACGUGCCAGCAGCCGCGGUAAUACGGAGGGGGCAAGCGUUAUCCGGAAUUACUGGGUGUAAAGGGAGCGUAGACGGUGAUGUAAGUCUGGAGUGAAAUGCGGGGGCCCAACCCCCGGACUGCUCUGGAACCUAUGUGACUGGAGUGCAGCAGAGGUGAGCGGAAUUCCUAGUGUAGCGGUGAAAUGCGUAGAUAUUAGGAGGAACACCAGUGGCGAAGGCAGCUCACUGGACUGUAACUGACGUUGAGGCACGAAAGCGUGGGGAGCAAACAGGAUUAGAUACCCCAGUAGUC